CGUAUUGGAGAGCCGGUGCACCAGGGCGGAGUAUCAAGAUAAAACAUCUCCAAGAAUAGAGGGUACCUGAGAUUUAAGGAGAAGUAAGAAAGGAGAAAGGUAUGGCUUUACUGCCUUUCCCGACAAUCAGUGUCAUAAGUAUCUUAUUAGUUUUGAGUUUGCCUGGCCAGUCAAGAGCCAGAUAAUGUUUCCAAAUCCAAAUGUUAAGCAACAUGCUGCUAAAGCAUCAAGGGACAAUGUUUCCGACAAAAAGUCUGGUUUCUAUGGGUAUAGCAUAUAUUGGUCUCAUUCUAGCCGCAGUGUGUAGGCAUAAUUAGUAAAAAUAAGAAGAAGAGACAAUUUUCAGUAACCAUUAUUGUUUACGUUUUGACAAAACGUGGAGUCGUGAAAAAUAAGAAUAUUAAUAUUUAAUUCAAAUUAGUAGCAGUAUGCUGCGGUUAAUAUUAUUAUCCCACAGUGGGAAACAAGAGUCCUCAUCAUGGCCAGUCGUAUCGAUAGAAAGGUGGGCAGACAACCUUGAUUAUUCUUGGACUUUAUGAGUAAUGGAUUCAGUUAAAGUUGAGAAUCCAUCAUGUAUCUUGGCAGCAAAUACUUCACGAUCCCUUGCAGGGGCUGCUACAUGAAAGUCAACCAGGAUGAUUCAUUAUACAUUGCUUAUGGAGGAUUAAAUAAGUUGAUGUGGAUUUGAUUCAGAUAAGAAUAAAUAAUGAUGGCAGUAAAGUAAGAUUAAACUAAUCAGUUCCUUAUUUAUUUAGUGAAACAUGGGAAAAACAGGAUCAGUUGUGCUGAGCGAAAUUAAAUCGUUGUACGUUGAACCAAUCAACAUCACACGGGAUGAUUAUUCAUUAGUGUCCCAGAAAGCUGCAAUGGCCGGAUUUAGUAGCAGUUGAUCAUCAGAUAAAUGUGGCGAAUGACGAGUUAAUAAAGGAAUCUGUGGAGUAACGACGUUUGAGGUGCUGGAAGAGGCUUCAAGGUGGCUAACCUAUCAUCAAGUUGCUGUUCAGGAGCAGGUGGCGGAAUCUCACUCGGAGAUAGAGGAGUCAUGAUCAAACGUUGGAUAUAUUCUGGCUGA